UUGAACGCUGGCGGCAUGCCUUACACAUGCAAGUCGAACGGCAGCGCGGGCUUCGGCCUGGCGGCGAGUGGCGAACGGGUGAGUAAUACAUCGGAACGUGCCCUGUUGUGGGGGAUAACUAGUCGAAAGAUUAGCUAAUACCGCAUACGACCUGAGGGUGAAAGCGGGGGACCGUAAGGCCUCGCGCAAUAGGAGCGGCCCGAUGUCUGAUUAGCUAGUUGGUGGGGUAAAGGCCUACCAAGGCGACGAUCAGUAGCUG
rnacentral:rRNA from 1 species